rnacentral:rRNA from 1 species
GACGAACGCUGGCGGCGUGCUUAACACAUGCAAGUCGAACGGUGAUGCUCCAGCUUGCUGGAGUGGAUCAGUGGCGAACGGGUGAGUAACGCGUGAGCAACCUGCCCCAGACUCUGGAAUAAGCGCUGGAAACGGCGUCUAAUACUGGAUACGAAACUGGCCCGCAUGGGCAUGGUUUGGAAAGUUUUUCGGUUUGGGAUGGGCUCGCGGCCUAUCAGCUUGUUGGUGAGGUAAUGGCUCACCAAGGCGACGACGGGUAGCCGGCCUGAGAGGGCGACCGGCCACACUGGGACUGAGACACGGCCCAGACUCCUACGGGAGGCAGCAGUGGGGAAUAUUGCACAAUGGGCGAAAGCCUGAUGCAGCGACGCCGCGUGAGGGAUGACGGCCUUCGGGUUGUAAACCUCUUUCAGCAGGGAAGAAGCGAAAGUGACGGUACCUGCAGAAGAAGCACCGGCUAACUACGUG